rnacentral:rRNA from 1 species
GACGAACGCUGGCGGCGUGCCCAAUACAUGCAAGUAGAACGCUGAAGAGAGGAGCUUGCUCUUCUUGGAUGAGUUGCGAACGGGUGAGUAACGCGUAGGUAACCUGCCUUGUAGCGGGGGAUAACUAUUGGAAACGAUAGCUAAUACCGCAUAACAAUGGAUGACACAUGUCAUUUAUUUGAAAGGGGCAAUUGCUCCACUACAAGAUGGACCUGCGUUGUAUUAGCUAGUAGGUGAGGGAAUGGCUCACCUAGGCGACGAUACAUAGCCGACCUGAGAGGGGGAUCGGCCACACUGGGACUGAGACACGGCCCAGACUCCUACGGGAGGCAGCAGUAGGGAAUCUUCGGCAAUGGGGGCAACCCUGACCGAGCAACGCCGCGUGAGUGAAGAAGGUUGUCGGAUCGUAAAGCUCGGUUGUAAGUCAGGAACGGGUGUGAGAGUGGAAAGUUCACACUGUGACGGUAGCUGACCAGAAAGGGACGGCUAACUACGUG